GACAGAGGAUGCAAGCGUUAUCCGGAAUGAUUGGGCGUAAAGCGUCUGUAGGUGGCUUUUUAAGUCCGCCGUCAAAUCCCAGGGCUCAACCCUGGACAGGCGGUGGAAACUACCAAGCUGGAGUACGGUAGGGGCAGAGGGAAUUUCCGGUGGAGCGGUGAAAUGCGUAGAGAUUAGGAAGAACACCAGUGGCGAAGGCGACUUACUGGACUGUAACUGACGCUGAGGCAUGAAACGUGGGGACAACAGG
rnacentral:rRNA from 1 species